UACGUAGGGUCCGAGCGUUGUCCGGAGUUACUGGGCGUAAAGAGUGCGUAGGCGGUUUUCUAAGUUUGGUGUGAAAUCUCCCGGCUCAACUGGGAGGGUGCGCCGAAGACUGGAAGGCUUGAGUAUGGGAGAGGUAAGCGGAAUUCCUGGUGUAGCGGUGAAAUGCGUAGAUAUCAGGAGGAACACCGAUGGCGAAGGCAGGUCUCUGGGCCACUACUGACGCUGAGAAGCGAAAGCAUGGGGAGCGAACAGG
rnacentral:rRNA from 1 species